rnacentral:rRNA from 1 species
CAGCAGCCACGGGAACACAGAGGGUGCGAGCGUUAAUCGGAUUUACUGGGCGUAAAGCGUGCGUAGGCGGCUUCUUAAGUCGGAUGUGAAAUCCCUGAGCUUAACUUAGGAAUUGCAUUCGAUACUGGGAAGCUAGAGUAUGGGAGAGGAUGGUAGAAUUCCAGGUGUAGCGGUGAAAUGCGUAGAGAUCUGGAGGAAUACCGAUGGCGAAGGCAGCCAUCUGGCCUAAUACUGACGCUGAGGUACGAAAGCAUGGGGAGCAAACAGGAUUAGAUACCCGCGUAGUCCCUGUCCUUAUACA